CAUGCACAUACAUGCACACACACACACCCCCUUCAGAGAGAUCACUUCACACAGAUCUGCGGCACUGAAGCACUUUCUGCACACACACUCUCUGCGCCAGGACUCAGACCAGCUGUAGUAACUCGACCUCCUCUGCUCUCUCUCUCUCUCAGGGUGAGGACAGGAUCAGAACCACCAUCACAAAGAACCAGACCCAGAACCAGCAGAGAUGUCAGACUGUGAGACCACCCCCGCCCUCGAGGCCCCCGUCCCCAGCGCCUGCGCCGCCAUCAAGGCCGACCUGGACAAAUGCGUUGCAGAGAAAGGAGCUGAAGGCUGCAAAGAUCUGAUGGAGGCGUUCGCUGCCUGCGUAAAAAGCAGCGCUGAGGCGUCAUGAGGUGGAGACGCCCCCCCCCCCCGAUGUCCUCUGCACUGAGUCCUCCAGUUCCCAGCAUUCCCUUCUGCACACUGGACUGAAAGAUGAAAACGAUGAAGACUGUGAUGAAGAUGGUGACCUCGAGAUGAUUUGGGCUGAAUUUGGGAAAUGGUGGCAGUAACAAAAGUGUCCUCCUCUCUUUCCCCCCUGUUUUAGGCUUAUCUAAUGUCCCUCAGUCUUAUUCCCCCGUUCCUCCCUGUGCCGUUGACAUGCAUCAACCUGUAGUCCAGAGCGCUGAGCUGUAAUAUACAUUGUCGACUCGUGAUGAAUACUUAUAAAUGGAAAUAAAAGUAUCAAAUAAUUGGUAUAAAAACGUU